rnacentral:lncRNA from 1 species
UCAGGCUUUGGAACCUCCGGAACCGUUGGCAAUUCAGGUUUUGGAACCUCUGGCACUUUCGGCAACUCAGGCUUCUGAAUCUCCGGCAUCUUUGGUAACUCCGGCUUCUGAAUUUCCGGCAUCUUUGGCAACUCGGGCUUCUGAAUCUCCGGUACCUUAGGUAACUCCGGCUUCUGAAUCUCCGGAAUUUUAGGCAACUCAGGUUUUGGAAUAUCUGGUAACUUAGGAGCCUCAAGCUUGGGAACUUCCGGCAUCUUUGGCAACUCAGGCUUUGGAAUCUCCGGAACCUUAGGAGCCUCAGGCUUUUCAGUCUCCAUUAGCUUAGGCACCUCAGGCUUUGAAUUUUCCGGAAACUUUGGCAAUUCAGGCUUCUGAAUCUCUGGAAACUUGGGCAAUUCAGGCUUUGGGAUCUCUGGAAACUUCGGCAACUCUGGCUUCGGAAUCUCCGGUACCUUUGGUAACUCCGGCUUCUGAAUCUCCGGGACCUUUGGUAACUCUGGUUUUGGAAUCUCUGGGAUCUUUGGGAGCUCAGGUUUCGGAAUUUCGGGAAACUUGGGCAAUUCAGGCUUUGGAAUCUCUGGCAGUUUAGCUUCCUCGGGCUUUGGAAUCUCCGGCACCUUUGGCAACUCUGGCUUUGGAAUCUCCGGGAUCUUCGGCAAUUC